rnacentral:rRNA from 1 species
UACGGAGGGGGCUAGCGUUGUUCGGAAUUACUGGGCGUAAAGCGUACGUAGGCGGCUUUGUAAGUUAGAGGUGAAAGCCCGGGGCUCAACUCCGGAAUUGCCUUUAAGACUGCAUCGCUUGAAUCAUGGAGAGGUGAGUGGAAUUCCGAGUGUAGAGGUGAAAUUCGUAGAUAUUCGGAAGAACACCAGUGGCGAGGCGACUCGCUGGACAGACAUUGACGCUGAGGUGGCGAAAGCGUGG